UACGUAGGUGGCAAGCGUUAUCCGGAAUUAUUGGGCGUAAAGAGCGCGCAGGUGGUUGAUUAAGUCUGAUGUGAAAGCCCACGGCUUAACCGUGGAGGGUCAUUGGAAACUGGUCGACUUGAGUGCAGAAGAGGGAAGUGGAAUUCCACGUGUAGCGGUGAAAUGCGUAGAGAUAUGGAGGAACACCAGUGGCGAAGGCGGCUACCUGGCCUGUAACUGACGGUCAAGCACGAAAGCGUGGGGAGCAAAUAGGAUUAGAUACCCUCGUA
rnacentral:rRNA from 1 species